AUAAUGUGUUACACAAGUAUUUGUUUAUUUUGAGUACAAAGCCACGUAGGGGUAUCCGCUGUAUCCAACACAGGAAAUCGAAUCCCGGAUUUUAGCGCUGUAAGUCCUUAGACUCACCGCUGUCCCAUAUAAAAGUGUUAAAAUCUGGUCCGUAUCACUACAAGGAGUAGCAAAAGUAUUAAAAUUUGGGCUGUAUUACUACAAGUAGUACAGGUGUUAAUAUUUGGUCCGUAUUACUACAAGUAGUAGUACAGGUGUUAAUAUUUGGUCUGUAUCACUACAACUACUAGUACAGGUGUUAAUAUUUGGCCUGUAUUACUACAAGUAGUACAGGUGUUAAUAUUUGGUCCGUAUUACUACUAGAAGUAGUACAGGUGUUAAUAUUUGGUCCGUAUUACUACAAGUAGUAGUACAGGUAUUAAUAUUUAAUCUGUAUCACUACAACUACUAGUACAGGUGUUAAUAUUUGGUCUGUAUUACUACAACUACUAGUACAGGUGUUAAUAUUUGGUCUGUAUUACUACAACUACUAGUACAGGUGUUAAUAUUUGGUCUGUAUCACUACAACUACUAGUACAGGUUCGUAUGGUUUCCGGACAGCGGGUGAGCAUAUUUGGUGUGAGGGGGAUUCGAACUCGCGACCUACAGAUUGCGAGUCGAGUGCCUUGACCACGUGACCAUGCCGGGCCCACUACCUUGUACGGAAAAACAAUAACAGAUAAAAACUACCGUAUAUUAACUGAGGAGCGUCCCACUAAGCCUACUCUUCAUAUUUGUGAGCUCUUUUGUCUUACCUACAUCGUAUAAUACAAUUCGAGACAAAUCUGAAAACACGGUGUAUUAGCUAUCCACAGUACUACAAGUGUUCUCUAAUACUAAAGUCUACCUUUCAUGGGCCUCAAGUGUGUAAGAACCCGAGGACCCUGAAUCCCAGUCGUUGAUGUGAAAACGUUAUCCACUCAUAUCAAGUUAGGCGAUUUAAUCCUUGUUUUCUUGAAUUUGGACUUGUUUUAAGAAAGUAAUUCAUUCAUCCGAAUUGUUCUCUUGAGAUUUCCAGAAUCUUUCCCCCGCCCCCACUUCCCUCCGUGUAAGACGAGCUGAACGUUCACAAGAUAGGUACCUAAUUUUCAGCUGGUGCUGGAAGCAGCCGUUAUUUUAAAUGAUAGUCUAAGGUAACUUCAGGACAAGUUAGUUGUACACAAAUUACUGAAACGAAACGCUAUGGGCAUACAUUUUAUCGACAUCUAAGCCUAUUUGACAAAAGCUUUCGCUGUAAUACGACGCAGUGCUUCAUUAGGGGCCGUACAUUAAAUUACGGGAUAUUUUAACUCUACUUGCUGGUUUCAUCUUCUAUGUUUACUGUAUUUUUAGUUCGCCAUCAACACGCAUUUUCAGGUUUCUUAUCUACUACUACUGGGCAAGACUAACUUCGACCUCUAAUAACGUUCUGCUUGCAGUUAUGCUUCACAACUACGUAUUUUUUUUAUAAUUAAUAAAAUAUAUAAGGCUUAGUGGAUUCACCCUUUGGACUCGUAAUCGGAUGAUCGUGAGUUCGAGACUGGUCGCGUCAUGCUGGUGUGUCAUUCUUAGUUCAAAUUGUUUUAGUCAACACAGAUGCAUAAUGGGUACCAACUGUUAGCCGAGGAUUAACCUGGAAUGGACUGACGUCUCAUCCAGGGGGAGGGGGAUAUGCUACCAUUCUCAUCGCUUGUACCAAUUAAUCCGGAGUUCAGCACCGGAUCCUAUGUGUCAUUUCUGCAUGGGAGGGAUUUGACCUCACUUGAUAAGGAACGAAUGUUUAAAAAGUGGAUAUCUGGUAUUUAGAACCUGAGCAGCAUACUUAUGCGCACGUGGGUUAAACAGCCAGGUCAGAGACCUCUGUAUUUCAGGUAAAGCUCUCCCCAAUAUUUAACUAAUGACCAGAUGGUGGUCAACAGUAUCGGAUUUAUCAGACUCUUGAAACGCCCACAAAUUAAAUUGCGAGUGUGUUCAGUUACAUUUCAUCUUGAACUUUGGAUCUCUCGACUCACUAACUAUCCAAUUAAAAAUCAACAACAAAUGAAUGACAAAGUAACAUGCUUACAUAUUAUUCUACAUUUGAAGUUGCUGUUCUGUUUUAAUACUGAGCUGUUCAUUAUAAUCUUCUUUCGUAAGGUUUCGACAAAAUCUACAUUUUGUAUUCACUUGAUUGUCAUGUACGAUAAAAAGGGGGUACUAAUGUAGUAACGAGACUACGAAUGCUAUGACAGGAUCUUUUAUUCUCAACGUUUCGACUACGAGUCUUCUUCAGAAGAUUAUGACACCGUAUUUUUUAGUGUUGUUUGUUCUCUGCACAUAAACACAAAA